GACGAACGCUGGCGGCGUGCUUAACACAUGCAAGUCGAGCGGUAAGGCUCCUUCGGGAGUCCACGAGCGGCGAACGGGUGAGUAACACGUGAGUAACCUGCCCCAUUCAUCGGAAUAACCAGUGGAAACGCUGGCUAAUGCCGAAUACGACCACCGAAGGCAUCUUCUGGUGGUGGAAAGCUCCGGCGGAGUGGGAUGGACUCGCGGCCUAUCAGCUUGUUGGUGAGGUAACGGCUCACCAAGGCGACGACGGGUAGCCGGCCUGAGAGGGUGACCGGCCACACUGGGACUGAGACACGGCCCAGACUCCUACGGGAGGCAGCAGUGGGGAAUAUUGGACAAUGGGCGAAAGCCUGAUCCAGCAACGCCGCGUGAGGGAUGACGGCCUUCGGGUUGUAAACCUCUUUCAGCAGGGACGAAGCGAAAGUGACGGUACCUGCAGAAGAAGGACCGGCCAACUACGUG
rnacentral:rRNA from 1 species